UAACACGUAGGUAACCUGCCCAUGUGUCCGGGAUAACUGCUGGAAACGGUGGCUAAAACCGGAUAGGUAUACAGAGCGCAUGCUCAGUAUAUUAAAGCGCCCUUCAAGGCGUGAACAUGGAUGGACCUGCGGCGCAUUAGCUAGUUGGUGAGGUAACGGCCCACCAAGGCGAUGAUGCGUAGCCGGCCUGAGAGGGUAAACGGCCACAUUGGGACUGAGACACGGCCCAA
rnacentral:rRNA from 1 species